GCACUUAAAACGAGGUUAAUGAACGAUCAAUAAGGCUCAUGGCUUAGACUAGUGACUUCUAUUAAACUUUGGAGGGGUGCCCGCCUAAAGCUAACCCAAGCGGUUGAACUUGUAACAUAAUUUGUGACAGUGCCGGCCUGCAUUGGCACGGCCCUACU